GAUGAACGCUGGCGGCGUGCCUAACACACGCAAGUCGAGCGAACCCUUUGAGGUGAGCGGCGGACGGGUGAGUAACGCGUGGGUAACCUGCCCUAUACACACGGAUAACGUACCGAAAGGUACGCUAAUACGGGAUAAAGUUGUUGGAUGGCAUCUUCUAACAAUCAAAGCUCCGGCGGUAUAGGAUGGACCCGCGUCUGAUUAGCUAGUUGGUGAGGUAAUGGCUCACCAAGGCGACGAUCAGUAGCCGACCUGAGAGGGUGAUCGGCCACACUGGAACUGAGACACGGUCCAGACUCCUACGGGAGGCAGCAGUGGGGAAUAUUGCACAAUGGGCGAGAGCCUGAUGCAGCAACGCCGCGUGAGCGAUGAAGGUCUUCGGAUCGUAAAGCUCUGUCCUCAAGGAAGAUAAUGACGGUACUUGAGGAGGAAGCCCCGGCUAACUACGUGCCAGCCGCCGCGGUAA
rnacentral:rRNA from 1 species